rnacentral:lncRNA from 1 species
CCUUGUACAUGUUCAGAUUUUGAAUUGUUUUUUAAUAUUUUAGGUAUAUGGAACGCCUCUGUACUCAAUUGAGAAAUAUUGAUGUGUAUGGUUUCGUUGAUCCAUUUUUCAUUCACGCAGAAAAUGACCAAGAAAGUUCUCAGUCGCAUAUGACCGCAAAGAUGUUCGAGGUUAACAAAGCUGGUUAUUUUGCACCUUACCUGAAAAAGUUAGGGUAUUUGAUCUUCAUAGUAUUAUUUCUCUAUAGUUAAUCACAUAUAUUAGAAAGCCCUAAAGUUAACAAAUCUUUUUUUUUUUCUAGUGGUGCUAUAGAAGGGUAUAACAAGUUGAGUGGUGUCAGAAAGGCGAGAAAGCCAACAUGGGAGAUUCCCUCAGUAAGUUAAAAAUUAUAUUCAUACAAUAUUAUAACUUAUAUAUAUAUAUAUAUAUAUAUGCUAUUUACUCAAUAUAAUUUCAUAUUUAUGACAACUGUAGUGCCAAAGACAACCUUUCAAUUAUGAGUGUGGCUACUUUAUAAUGAUACAUAUGAUGAACAUUGUAUCAGCUGGCAUUACGACUCAUGAAAUAUGGUGUGUAACUAAAUAUUACAACCAUUUGUGUUUCUUAAUGUUUUUUAAAGUUAAUUUCAUAUUCUAAUAUGAUAUCUUAACUUUUUUUUUUUUCCAGAUUUUUGGAGACGAAACUCUGUUUACUGAUGAUGAAAUGACAAAAGUUCAAGAACGCUGUGCAAUUUUGAUUUUGGAAAGAGUUGAUGUAAUUUAAUUAUGUCAAUAACUAUGCUUUGAAACAAUGUUUAGCUUUUGUUUAAUUUUAUGAUAUUGUAACUUUGGAUUUGUUUGAUAUUGUAACAAUGACAGGUCUGAUAUGAAAUUUGCUCAU